GACAUUGUAGCUCAGUGGUAGAGCGUCAGACUCAUUGUCUGAGAGCCGGGGGUUCAAUUCCCUCCUGUGUCUCCA
rnacentral:tRNA from 1 species